AGACAAAGAGACCGUGCAGAAGCAGUCGGCCGAGCAUCCAUUAUGGGGCGGGGUUGGGGAGGGGCGGAAGGAGAAGAAAGGGGACUGGGGUUAGAAGACUUUCUGUUGCUUAAACCUCAAACUGCAGUUAAAAUUAUCUAUGUGAGGUUUUUUCCCCCUACCCUUAAUAACAAUUUAUGUUUAGAUUAAAUAUUUAAAGGAAAAUGACUGCCAGCCCCUCCCUCGUAGUAUAUUAAACUCGACUACAUUUUGUUAGGGUUCAACAUCUCUAAUUGCUUUAAACGUAAAGUGGGAGGGAAAAUCGGCAUGAUGCUCGAAAUGGCCUGGGUAUAUGUGAUUUUUUUAAUUUAAAAAAAGAUUUAGCCAUACGGUCAUUCCAAAUGGUUUCUCAGGUUCAACUAACUUAUUUUCAGAGCUUCUUCUGCAGGCACACGCACACCCGAAUAGCUAAACAAAACUGGAAGAUGGAAAGAAUAACCAUAUUAAAUAAAGAAGCGAACAAAUAGUUCUAACAUGGCAAUAAUCAAGAGCAAGUGAACGUAGAGUAGUUAUAAUGGUUUACUAGAGGUAUUCUUUUAUGAGAAGUCUAUGUAACACAUUUUGUAUGGUACAUUGUCCUUUGGAAUGAAUCAUCUUUCCUGAUAGAAAAUUGGGAAAAUACAAGGAGAAAUAAUUGAGCUCAGAAGUUAGUACUACAUGUGUGCAGUUACAUAUCUGAAUUGGACUUUUGUCUGGAAAGUAACAAGCAAAAUAAUAGUAAUAACCAAUACACCAAAUUAAAAAGAAGAAGAGAAUAAUAUAAUGUAAAAAGAAUUUUGCAAUGUCGCCUCCAUCCACAGACAACUGUGAAACAUCAGCUCAAUAAACGCAUUUCCUUUU
rnacentral:lncRNA from 1 species